AUUGAACGCUGGCGGCAGGCCUAACACAUGCAAGUCGAGCGAGAGGCGGAAGGGUGAGUAAUGUAUGGGGACUGCCCGAUAGAGGGGGAUAACUCCUGGAAACGGUGGCUAAUACCGCAUAAUGUCGGAGAACACCUAUGGGAGUAGAUAGUAGGUAAGGGAAUGGCUUACCUAGGCGACGAUCCCUAGCUGGUCUGAGAGGAUGAUCAGCCACGCUGUGACUGAGACACCGCCCAAACUCCUACGGAGGCAGCAGUGGGGAAGAGUGCACAAUGGGCUCAAGCCUGAUGCAGCCAUGCCGCGUGUAUGAAGAAGGCCCUAGGGUUGUAAAGUACUUGCAGUCGGGAGGCGUUACCGACAGAAGAAGCACCGGCUAACUCCGUGCCAGCAGCCGCGGUAAUAC
rnacentral:rRNA from 1 species